rnacentral:rRNA from 1 species
GACGAACGCUGGCGGCGUGCUUAACACAUGCAAGUCGAACGGAACUCUUUGGAUCGAGACUUCGGUCAAGUGAAUCUGAGUUUAGUGGCGGACGGGUGAGUAACGCGUGAGGAACCUGCCUUUCAGAGGGGGACAACAGUUGGAAACGACUGCUAAUACCGCAUAAUGUAUUUUGGGGGCAUCCCUUGAAUACCAAAGCUUUAUGUGCUGAAAGAUGGUCUCGCGUCUGAUUAGCUAGAUGGCGGGGUAACGGCCCACCAUGGCGACGAUCAGUAGCCGGUCUGAGAGGAUGAACGGCCACAUUGGGACUGAGAUACGGCCCAGACUCCUACGGGAGGCAGCAGUGGGGAAUAUGGUCAAUGGGCGGGAGCCGUGAACCAGCCAAGUCGCGUGAGGGAAGACGGUUCUAUGGA